UACAGAGGGUGCGAGCGUUAAUCGGAAUUACUGGGCGUAAAGCGCGCGUAGGCGGCUUUGCAAGUCGGGUGUGAAAUCCCCGGGCUUAACCUGGGAACUGCAUUGGUGACUGCAUUGCUCGAGUAUGGCAGAGGGGGUGGAAUUCACGUGUAGCAGUGAAAUGCGUAGAGAUGUGGAGGAACACCGAUGGCGAAGGCAGCCCCCUGGGCCAAUACUGACGCUCAUGCACGAAAGCGUGGGGAGCAAACAGG
rnacentral:rRNA from 1 species